rnacentral:rRNA from 1 species
UACGUAGGGUGCGAGCGUUGUCCGGAAUUAUUGGGCGUAAAGAGCUCGUAGGCGGUGUGUCGCGUCGGCCGUGAAAACCUGGGGCUCAACUCUGGGCGUGCGGUCGAUACGGGCAUCACUUGAGUUCGGCAGGGGAGACUGGAAUUCCUGGUGUAGCGGUGAAAUGCGCAGAUAUCAGGAGGAACACCGGUGGCGAAGGCGGGUCUCUGGGCCGAUACUGACGCUGAGGAGCGAAAGCGUGGGGAGCAAACAGG